rnacentral:rRNA from 1 species
UAGGGAAUCUUCCACAAUGGGCGCAAGCCUGAUGGAGCAACACCGCGUGAGUGAAGAAGGGUUUCGGCUCGUAAAGCCCUGUUGUUAAAGAAGAACACGUAUGAGAGUAACUGUUCAUACGUUGACGGUAUUUAACCAGAAAGUCACGGCUAACUACGUGCCCG